rnacentral:lncRNA from 1 species
CAUGGGAAGAUGCAGGCCAGACACUGCCGGCUCCUCUUUACUCUCUGCUCCGGAGGGAGGCAGGAAGGAGUCUCAAGGGCCACCACAGUGCCUCUUCCCCCCAGACCCCAGAGCACCAGAAGUGGAACCCACACAGCUGGGGCUGCAAGCGUGGGGCACAGAUCAUUUCGGGCAGCGGCCUCCAGAAGGACAACACUGGGAGGGAAGAGGACCUGCUUCAGGGGCCCUUGGCUGGCUGCCUCCUUCCGGGGACGCUCCCCAGGACCCUUCUUGCCCUGGGCCUCCUUCUCAGCCUGGGCCCACAUCUUCACCUGCUGGGCGCGCCGCUUCUGGGCAUGCUUCAGCCGCUCCUGUGUGCUCAUCCUGCCCACCAUGGGCAUCUCUGCCAGCAGCUCCAGGUGCUCG